rnacentral:other from 1 species
AUUUCCCUGCGCUGUUGGUGAUCUCCAGUGUUGUUGAGCCAACUCUCAUUAAAAGGGAGCCCUCGCUACCGUUGGAUGGAAAAUCGUACGCGAAUUUCCUGAUGACUGUAUGGGGAUCCCACCUAUAUUCAUAGGUUUAACGUACCUGUUGACACGGCAGGGCGGGGAGCUU